rnacentral:snoRNA from 1 species
ACCCAGCACUUUCACAGGUCCGCCUCUGGUCGUGGGGUCGGGAUUUGGUAGCUGGUGCUGAGAGCAAAACCCUCGGGCACUUCCUCGCCCUGGCCUUGGGCCGGUGGCAAGAGUGAUCGAAGGGGACAGAG